CAGUAGCCGCGGGAAUACGAAGGGGGCUAGCGUUGUUCGGAAUCACUGGGCGUAAAGGGUGCGUAGGCGGAUUCUUAAGUCAGGGGUGAAAGCCCAGGGCUCAACCUUGGAACUGCCUUUGAUACUGGACAUCUUGAGUGUGGGAGAGGUAAGCGGAACUCCGAGUGUAGAGGUGAAAUUCGUAGAUAUUCGGAAGAACACCAGUGGCGAAGGCGGCUUACUGGCCCAUUACUGACGCUGAGGCUCGAAAGCGUGGGGAGCAAACAGGAUUAGAUACCCCCGUAGUCCCUGUCUCUUAUAC
rnacentral:rRNA from 1 species